rnacentral:snRNA from 1 species
GCCUGUCGGGACCCGAAAG